rnacentral:miRNA from 1 species
AAAUGCAACGUCACAAA